UUGGAGGGCAAGUCUGGUGCCAGCAGCCGCGGUAAUUCCAGCUCCAAUAGCGUAUAUUAAAGUUGUUGCAGUUAAAAAGCUCGUAGUUGAAUUUCGGGACCAUCAUGUCGGUCGUGCCUCGGUACGUACUGGCAUUGUUGGUUUCUCCCUUCUGACGAACCAUAAUGUCAUUUAUUUGGUGUUGUGGGGAAUCAGGACUGUUACUUUGAAAAAAUUAGAGUGUUUAAAGCAGGCUCACGCUUGAGUACAUUAGCAUGGAAUAAUGAAAUAGGACGUUUGAUUCUAUUUUGUUGGUUUCUAGGAUCGACGUAAUGAUUAAUAGGGAUAGUUGGGGGCAUUAGUAUUCAAUUGUCGGAGGUGAAAUUCUUGGAUUUAUUGAAGACUAACUACUGCGAAAGCAUUUGCCAAGGAUGUUUUCAUUAAUCAGAACGAAAGUUAGGGGAUCGAAGACGAUCAGAUACCGUCGUAGUCUUAACCAUAAACUAUGCCGACUAGGGAUCGGAUGAUGUUAAUUUUUUAAUGACUCAUUCGGCGCCUUACGGGAAACCAAAGUGUUUGGGUUC
rnacentral:rRNA from 1 species